rnacentral:lncRNA from 1 species
AGAACAGCAGGCGGCGAGGCCGGGGCGGGCGCAGAGCAGAGGGGGGCCCGGGGGAGGCGGGGGCGGAAUCUGCCCAACUCCCGAGCCUGGCUCCGAGGGAGACACGGAAUGCAGGCUGGAGAGCAGCCGGCGGGGGCCGCGUUCCCAGCAGAGUUGGGGGAGGCGGAGGUGCCCAGGUCCCCGGGCAUCAACUAUUGUUUGCGCGCUCGGGUCCCCGCUCGCGCCGCCUCCGAUGUUCAGCGCCCCUCAUCCCGCCUGCCUGCCCCCAAGAGAAAGCGCUGAGGGGGCGGCCGACGCGGGAAGCAAUUGCUGGAUGACUGGAGGGCCGGAGUUCCGAGGUGGGCGCCGAGUGGGGGAGGGGACAGGUAACUACAGCGGGGGGCAGAAAGGCCCAGGAGGAUCGGUGGGGGGAGGAAAUGGGGAGGAAGCCACGGAGGCGGGAGAGGAUGAAAUGACAGAGGGGGCGGCCUCCGAAACCCAGACCUGGCCCUCCCUGGGGACCCUCCUCCCGGGGACUCAGUGCCGCUCUGACUUUUGCUCACUUGCUCACGCACACAGCGAACUCGCUCACAAAGUUGCCGGCGGUGGCGGUGCCGCACUCGCCCUUCCCCUCCCCGCCUCCCUACCACCCCGCCCCAUUCCUUCCCCUCCUUCAUUCCCUCCCCUUUCCCCAAGUCUCGGGUGAGAUCACCGAUGUGCUGCUCAGUGCUGCGCUCAAAUCUCGCGAGAGAAGCGGCUCAGCCCAGAUGGCGGGGGAAGUGGAAGGAGUUGGAGGAAGGGGGUGGGGGGAACCGCGGAACUUAGUCUCUUAGUUGCUAUGACGACGGCAAAGCCCUGGAUUCCUGUCUCCUGCGGAGAGCCGAGGCAGCAAACGUGGGUGCAGUUUCCAGCCUCCCCUCUCCCUAGCCUGACGCCCUAAUGGUGGAGAAAGCAAGGGCUAGAAGCGGGAAAAGGAGUUUUAAACUCUUUGAGAGGGAUUUUGCAGAAGAACAGCGUCACGCUAUCUGGCUAAAUUUGGCAAAUGAAGCUAAUUGUUUUUUAAGGAUUCUGGGACAGAUUACUGCCACAGAAGCCAGCGCAUGUGUGAACCCCCAGUUUCCUACAUAUAUCUAGUUUUUCAGCCUUCCACUCUAAUCUCAUCACCCAAACCCCACCAACUCCUUAUGCUACCUCUCACUUCCCCCCCUCCCCCGCUCCCCAUCCCCACCGCCACCAACAAACUGGGCUCUUGAAGGAUCUGUCUUACCCAUCUUUGUAUUCUCAGAGCCUCCACAAGCUUGAUACAUAGUAGGUGUUUACUUAAUGUCUGUUGGGGGAAAUGAACGUAACAAGCUGCUUGUCCUCAGAGGUACUUGGCUUUCACCCUACCCUGGAAAGUACUUCAUUUUAGAUUAAAAGUUUCUGCUCCACAGUUAUGGUUUCGACUUUGUUAAACUAUCCUCCCAUUUCUGUUCACACCGAAUUAUCUGUUUUUAAAUAAUUAUAAUCCUCUGUUCUCUUUCUCCAUCUUUGUCUCAUGAAACAAAACUUCUUCAUACCUACUCCAAAAUGAGGAUGAAGAUGAAAUCUCAUCCUGUUUCUUCUUUUAAUUGUAGAAAUUUUCUUUGGGGGUUUUAUAUAUCACUGCCUAAAUAAAGUGGAUACUGUGAAUAGAGUUUUAAAAAAGCUUAAACUUUUGAUAUCAAAAUGAGUCAGUAAAAAUAGUUUCCAUGUUAUGUGAAUUAUACCAAUUUUUAAAAAGAUGCCAUCCCUAUUUACAUAAAUAUGGGAAAACCAUUAUUUAAAUCAAUCUCUUGGAACCAGAAACCUUAAAAUAUACACCAAGAUUCUUUUAGGUUACAUGCAAGUUUAAAUACUAUGUCAGUGAAAACCUAAUGAUACAGUGAUAAAAAGCACUGGACAAAGUCUGGAAACUAGGGUGUGAGUUUUUGUUGUCACUAAUAAUUGAGUCUCCUUGAGAAUGUAUUUAAUCUUUCUCUCGGAGUCUUCAUCUAUAAAACGAGGGGUAGCACACAUGUUAGGUCAUUGCAGCUUUAAAAUUCUAUGGCUCUUAGACCUAGACAAAUUUCUGAUAAAUAACAGAUAUUUUUCUUUUACAUCAAACAGACUUUUUUAAUGAGUGUUUCAUUUUAUAGUAGGUCAGUUUUAUAAAGUUCAGCUACGUGUUGACAAGCUGCUCUUAAAGUUCUCUUGUCUCAACUAUAAAAACAACAAAAAUAUUUACCAUGUUACAGUAAUUUCAAAGGGAAUCCAUUGUUCUUAUUUGCUUUUAUACUAACUCAAAACAGAUUUCUUGUUAUUUAAUAAAUAUGCUAACCCAAACCAAAGACCCAAACUUAAUACAUCCACACUCCCACUAAAAUAACCCUGAGAAGGAGGGAGGGAAGGACAGGAAGAAGGAAGGAGCUAGGAGGGAAGGAAAGAAGGGUGGGCCUUAAAUCCAGAGACUGGUGUUUUUUGUUUUGUUUUGUUUUUUAACUUAUUUAUUUAUUUUAUGGCUGUACCUGAGGCAUAUGGAAAUUCCCAGGCUGGGGACUGAACUCGCAGCUCCGCAUCCCCCUGAGCCACUGCAGUUGGAUUCUUAACCCACUGCACCACAGCAGGAACUCCUCCACAGGUAUUUUUAAUAUCAAAUUUUUACAAAGAAACACAAUAGAGCAUCACCAUUAUCAGUCCUGUUGAUCUGUUUUAAGGAAUUAUCUUCCAUACACAGCACACUACUGUCAAUGGGUUGUUAUUCAUUCGCCCCGGCUCAACUUUUUAACAUAGUUUUGCCCUUAAAGGAUAGCUGCCUAACUGUAUCUGCCAACACAGUACAAUUUCAGGGCCACUUGUUUUAUGACUCUUGUUUUAACCAUUUGAUACAUUUGAAAUAACUGCCCCAGUGUUUCUUAAGAGGCUCAGGAGAUGGGUCUUGGCGUCAAAUUACAAAGAGAAUUUCCCCAUCUUCAGGCAGAGCAGACUACUAAAGAUUGUUCUAGGGACCUAAAACUGCUCCCUUCGAGAUCCUGGACCUCCCCGCACCUCCCCUCCCUCCCUCCCCCCAUGGUGGCAGAACUUUCACCAAGGUUUCUGAAGGAAAUGAAAGGCAAAAUUUACCAAAGUUACUCUGCAUGGUUCUCUGGGUCAGGCAGCCUGCAUCCUCUCUGACCUUCCUGGGGUUUCCAAAUAGCAAACAAGGGAUGACAGAAGAAGGAAGGGGGGGAUAGAGAGUCAUCAAGCACAGAUCAGAUCUCAACCACUUCCUGCCCACUCCCUCUACUGGCUCUCCAGCGCCCUCUGCCCAGCCCCCUCCCCCACAUACUCCAGGGAUGCGUAACCUUUCCUGUGAUAAGAACUCCCUCUCUUUUGAUUUCUUUGUUCUUUUUCCCCCCAGAUCCUUUUCCCAUAUUGAUCAUCACAGAAUAUACAACAGUUCCCCAUUGGCCAAUCACGCCGUAAGCCACCACUGUGCCAAUGCCAAUCCCGCCCCUCCCUUUCCCUUCCUAGUUGGUUAAAGCACAAUUGUAUUCAUUUCUCUCUGGUUAUUAUUCACGUCUACUCACCAACACACCUGAACAUAUCAAAUAUGGAAUGAAUUUUGACACCCAGGUCUACCAAGCAAGGAAAAUACAUGUGUGUGUGUAUGUAAAUAUAUAUAUACAUGUUAGGAGUUCCUGCUGUGACACAGGAGGACCGGUGGCGGAGUCUCUGAAGUGCUGGAACACAGAUCCAUCCCCAGCCCAGCACAGCGGGUUAAGGAUGUGGCAAUUGCCGCUCAGAUCUAAUCCCUGGCCCUCCAUAUUCUGAAGGGAGGCCAAAAAAGAAAAAAAGUAAUUAAUUAAUCAAAAUUAUAAACAUCAACUCAAAUUUUCAGGUUGUACAGUUAAAAUCUAGUUUACCCAGCCUAUUAUCAUCAGUUCAGUACUUCCAGUUACCAGCGCUCUAUCUCCAGGGCAUUACUAACAAUCAGAGAAAUGGCUCAACUAUAAAGAAGAAACCAAGAGCCCCCUAAAUCAUCCGAGAUUAAAUUAUAUCCAAUGCUGUUUCAAUGUUAAGGUUUUAUGAUUGUAGCCCUAUGUAAUAUAACUCCAUUUACCUGAAUGCUAGACUUCUUAGGACACCUCAUUCUCCCAUCUUCAUAACAGUAUUUAUGACAUGUUUAAACAUCAACUGCUUUAUAAUCAAUGAACAUUUCUCAGCCAACCUACUACUUCCUUGUCCACUCUCACUCUUUCAAAGGACUUUUUCAUAUCUUCUCCUUCACCACACCUCCUGCUUGUUACUCAGCUAAUGGUCAUGCUGCUUCAUUCACUGGUAAAAUAGAGGCCAUCAAAAGAGAACUUAGCACCCACUCCAUUGCGACCACUCAAUCUAUCAAUUCGCCUGCAUCUGCCUGCAAAUACUCUUGUGUUCCUGGCUCUGAGGCCAAGCUCUCAGUGCUCUUGGCCAAGAUUAACCUCUCCACCUGUGUACCAGUCCCAUCCCCUCUGACUCCAGGACGUUAAUUCAGCAACUGUCCCCUUUCUCUCACACAUUGGGAAAAUCUCCUCUAUGGAAUCAUUUCUGAGUGCUUACAAGCAUGCUGUAAGAUCUGCCUUGGUAACAAAGAAAACAUUUCCUAGAUUCCAUAUCUCUCUCUGCUUCACUUUACCAAUGGAAUCUUCAAAAGGUUUUUCCAGGCUUGUGUCUCUAAUUCCUCUCCUCCCACUCAUCCAUGAAUCCUUUCUGAGCAGCCCUUCACCCCCCACCGCUCCAGCAGCACAGGACUUCUCAGGGCCCCUAGUUACUCACUGCCUCAUUGCUACAGCCAGCAAUCAGUUACCCUCCUCCCCUCACCAGACCUCUAGCUACCGGGCAGAGGCUGAUCACUCCUUCUCUCUCUCCCUCUCUCUCUUUUGGCUGCACCCACAACAUAUGGAAGUUUCAGGGCCAAGGAUUGAAUCCCAGCCUCAGCUGUGACCUACUCCACAGCUGAGGCAAUGCUGGAUCCUUAACCCACUGCACCAGACCAGGGAUGAAACCAACAAUGUCAGAGAUAAUGCUGGAUCCUUAACCUGCCGUGCCACGGCAGGAACUCCUGUCACUCUUUGAAACACUUUCCUCAUGGGACUUCUGGGUUAAAAGUUUGUCUUGGUUCUUCUUCUACCUUUCUGGCCUCCUCAGUAGCAAAUCUCUAAGUCCGUGGACGCCUUCUUUUUGUGGUCUCUUAAUCCAUGGCAGUCCCACCAGUCUGACAGCUUAAAUGCCAUCCAUCUACUGCCACCCAUCCAAAUUUACUUCUCCAGUCCAGAUGCCUCCCCAAACUCCAGACUCACACAUCCAGCUCUGACUCAACAUCUCCACUGGUUGUGCAAUUUGUAUCUCCUACAUCACACAUCUGACACUGGAAACUCUAGAUAUUCUGCCCCAAACCAGUGUCAUCCUUGACUCUUCAGUGUCUCUCAGAUCACACAUCCAGACUACCAGUGAAUUCUACUGCCUCUUCCUUCAAAAUAUGUGCAGAGGACUUCUUCCCAUUGUGGCUCAGCGGUAACGAACCAGACUAGUGUCAGUGAGGACUCGAUUCAAUUCCUGGCCUCGCUCAGUAAAGGAUCCAGCAUUGCCUUGAGCUGUGGUGUAGGUCACAGACUGGGCUCAGAUCUGGCAUUGCUGUGACUGUGGCGUAGGCCAGCACCUGCAGCUCCAAUUCGAUCCCUAGCCUGGGAAC